rnacentral:rRNA from 1 species
GACGAACGCUGGCGGCGUGCUUAACACAUGCAAGUCGAACGAAGUGGCGAACGGGUGAGUAACGCGUAAUCAACCUCCCCUUCAGAGGGGGACAACAGGUGGAAACGACUGCUAAUACCACAUCCGGAAGGUUGGGAUUGCGGUGGCUUAGCUAGUUGGAGGGGUAAAGGCCCACCAAGGCGAGGAUCAGUAGCCGGACUGAGAGGAGGAGCGGCCACAUUGGGACUGCGACACGGCCCAGACUCCUACGGGAGGCAGCAGUGGGGAAUCGUCCGGAAUUGACGAAAGUCUGACGGAGCAACGCCGCGUGAGUGAUGACGGCCUUCGGGUUGGAAAGCUCUGUUAAUCGGGACGCGGUACCGGAAUAGAAAGCCACGGCUAACUACGUGCCAGCAGCCGCGGUAAUUC